CGCAGCUCCUCCGUCUUCCUCCCAAACCUUUUACCUUUUCUUUCUUUCUUCUCCAAAACUAGCAAUCUGAGAUUUCAACCUCUCUCUCUAAGAAGCAGCGGCAUGCUUUUCCAAACGCAAUCUGCAAUUUAAUCAAACAGCCACCGAAUUUUCUGGAAUCCGGUCAACGCAGCGAUGCUCCGGAUUUUGAUCGGUCAACGCCAGCUGCUUACCUGAGCUCCAAAAGACCCAACAGUGAUGACGUCUUCCACCUCUGUUUCUGUUUGGCUGAUUCUGCUGUUUGGCUUCUUUCACCUCCACAAGCUUGCAGCCAAUGUCGAGGGUAUGUCUCUGUGUGUUAUUGAAUUUGGGAGUGUUUGGUUGUGGGAACUGGAAUGAACUAAUGAAUGAAUGAAUGACUGGAAACAUUCCCGAAGAGCUUGGGGGUUUGUCAGACUUGGUGAGCUUGGAUCUUUACUUGGCAACCUUGCAAAACUGCGUUUCCUGUAUGAACCCCCAUCCUUUUGUUAGAUAAAAUCUAUCGUCAUUCUUUUUUAUUCGAUAUGCUAAUCUGCUGUUUUUAAUUGUUCCAUUGGAGUGACUUUCUUCCUUAAAGUCCUUGUGCCGGAUGCAUAUAAUUUAUAGUAUGAUCCCUGGUUUCAAGAUUCAGUCAUUGCAAGUCCUGUGAGUUUCAUACACUUUCAUCUCAGUAAGAGGGAGGAGAGAGUGAAAAGUUACUAAUUUCUCUGCCAUCAGAGAAUGCAAAUAACAUAUAGUUUUGCCAUGGAAUGCAGGGAUCUUUCAAAUAACAAUCUGACAGGGGAUAUUCCAGUUAAUGGAUCGUUUUCACUUUUUACUCCCAUCAGGUUUGUUGAAGCAACUGUACUCUUUUUCUUUAACUUUAGGGACAAAAAUAACAAUCUGACAGGGGAUACACUUUCAUCUCAGUAAGAGGGAGGAGAGGGUAAUAUAGCUUGAUCAAGUUGGUGUUGUAGUUGUUGUAUGGGAUGCAGGUUUCACUCAUCUACUGUCUUUGCAGCUGAGAAGGAUCCACAAGUUCAUUCACGACAGCUCAAAAACUUUUCUUUGCGCGAGCUACAAGUUGCAACAGAUACCUUUAGCGACAAAAAUAUUAUUGGUAGAGGUGGAUUUGGUAAGGUUUAUAGAGGACGCUUAGCUGAUGGAACUCUGGUUGCUGUAAAAAGACUUACAGAGGAGAGAACCCAAGACGGGGAACUACAGUUUCAAACAGAAGUUGAAAUGAUUAGAAUGGCUGUCCACCACCGCAAUCUGCUUUGUCUCCAUGGUUUUUGCAUGACACCAACAGAAAGGCUGCUUGUAUAUCCUUAUAUGGCUAAUGGAAGUGUGGCAUCUUGUUUAAGAGGUACUCAUCUAAAUUGUUUGCUGCGUUGAUGAAUCUUUUUGUUUUCACGACGUUAAAUUUUUUUUCGAUCACAUUGAUAUAAUGAAUUUAAAAACCUGACCAAUUUGGCUUGGAGUAUCAACACUAAUUUUUUUAAUGUUUUGUUUCCUUCAAUUUUAAUUUACCUUCUCGAUGCUGAUUUUAUUUCUGUUUAAUUUGAAAAGGAUGACAAGAAGACCCUUUUUUUGGGUAGGACGGGUGGUAUGAUAUGUGUUAGACCACAUUACCUGUUGCUUGUAAUUUGAAAUUCUCCUCUCAUAAGUAUGUGGAUAUAUUAUUGUAGGUCGUCCGGAAGGACAACCUGCACUUGAUUGGCCAAUAAGACAACGCAUUGCAUUGGGAUCUGCAAGAGGCCUUGCUUAUUUACAUGAUCACUGUGAUCCAAAAAUUAUUCACCGUGAUGUGAAAGCAGCAAACAUAUUGUUGGAUGAGGAAUUCGAAGCAGUUGUUGGAGACUUUGGGUUGGCUAAACUCAUGGACUACAAGGAUACAUAUGUUACCACACAUGUAUGUGGCACAUUUGGUCAUAUGGCACCGGAGCACUUUUCAACUGGAGUGUCUUCCGAGAAAACUGAUGUUUUUGGAUACGGAGUCAUGCUUCUUGAACUCAUCACUGGGCAGAGGGCUUUCAAUCCUCAUCUUGCGAGUGAUGAUGAUGUCAUGUUAGUUGAUUGGGUAUGCAUUUACGUCUUUCUGUUUGUGUAUGUAGCUAGUUCAUUGUUAUAUGCAAGAUUAUUUCCCAACAACAUUUGCAUUUCCUUAGUAAUUAGCUUUUAGAAAAUAAGUUUGGUUUAAUUAGCUUUUGUUAGUUAGAGUUAUGAUUAGCUGUGUAGAUUUGUUUAUCUUUAUUUAUAACAAUCUAAGGUUUAAACUGUCAGAGAUUAAUUAUUGCAUUUCCUUAGUAAUUGUUACUAUUGUUGUUGCUUCUUUUGCCAAUGUAUUGGCAUUUUGUGAUUUCUUGAAGAAUUUGGCAUAUGUUUUGUGUCGAUCGUAAUUUCCUCAUCAUCUCCUUAUUCUCGCUAUCGUGGCCUCUUGCUUUUUCCUAUUCUCUCUAUUGCAUCUUUGUCUUCUCUUUGCAUGAUAUCAAUAUUUGAAUGACGAAACAUUUUUGUAAGCAGUUCGAUUUUCUGUAGAAAACUGCGGUCCUUCAAAUUUUGAACAUUACAACACGUUUUUGUUCUCCUAGGUUCCCGCACCUUUUGUUUCAAAUUGUAGAACCACCCGACAUUUUCUGUUUUAUUUUUCCUAAAAAAAUUAGGUCAAACGACUACUGAAAGAACGGAGGUUGGAAAGACUUGUUGAUGCUGAUCUAAAUGGAAAUUAUAUUGACGAUCAAGUGGAGCAGCUGAUCCAAGUAGCUCUACUGUGCACACAAGGCUCCCCAGGGGAACGGCCCAAGAUGUCAGAGGUUGUCCGAAUGCUUGAAGGCGAAGGCGAAGGUUUGGCUGAAAGAUGGGAGGAGCGGCAAAACGAGGAGGUGAUCUGCCAAGAUUUCAACACUAUUCAUCAUCCAAGUACUUGGAUCAUAGACUCACCCUCUCCUAAUUUUGUGUUGUACUAUUUCUUUGAGUUUGAAGAAAUGGAUAAAAAGAAUGACAUGUGAUAGAGAGUUCAUCAUAUAACUUCUGACUUUAAGGAUUUUUCAUUUAGUUCUGGUUCAUGUUGCGCAAAUAAUAUUAGGUAACACUGCUACUGGGGCUAUUGCUGGAGGGGUUGCUGUUGGUGCUGCUUUAACGUUUGCUGCAACUGCAAAUACACUUGCUUAUUGGCGACGGAGAAAACCACAGGAUCAUUUCUUUGAUGUACCUGGUUAGUGAACUAUAGGAGUAAUAUAGCUUGAUAAAGGUGGUGUUUUAGUAUGGGAUGCAGGUUUCACUAAUCUACUGUCUUUGCAGCUGAGGAGGAUCCAGAAGUUCUUUUAGGACAGCUCAAAAGGUUUUCUUUGCGCAAACUACAAGUUGCAACGGAUAACUUUAGUAACAAAAAUAUUCUUGGUAGAGGUGGAUUUGGUAAGGUUUAUAAAGGACGCUUAGCUGAUGGAACUCUGGUUGCUGUAAAAAGACUUAAAGAGGCGAGAACCCAAGGUGGGGAGCUGCAGUUUCAAACAGAGGUUGAAAUGAUUAGCAUGGCUGUCCACCGCAAUCUGCUUCGUCUGCAUGGUUUUUGCAUGACACCAACAGAAAGGCUGCUUGUAUAUCCUUAUAUGGCUAAUGGAAGUGUGGCAUCAUGUAUAAGAGGUACUCUUCUAAAUUGUUUGCUGCGUUGAUGAAUCUUUUUGUUUACACAUGGGUAAAUUGCAUUUUACACCCUCAGGUUUGAGUGUAAUUGCAACCUCAUACAACAUUUUAAAACAUUUCAAUUUUAUUUAUUUACUUAUCAUUUUUAGCAAUUUCAUACAUCUGAUAGUCAAACCGUCAGUUUGACUGUUAAGGGAUGACAUGGCAAAUGUGAGGUCUACAUUUUGUUGACGGGGAUGCCAACUAUGAUUCACGUGGAAUAAAAACAAAUAAAAAGGAUUAAUAAAUAGAAAAUUAAUUUUUUUUUAAUUUAAAACUAAAAAAAUAGAAAAGAUUAAAAAAAAAAAAUGGUGUUGUUCAUCCCUAUCCUGCUCUCACCCCGUCCCCGCAUUCUUCAUUUCCCCCCGCCCACCAUCGCCACCUUCCCUUUCCUCAGCCACUGCAAUGAAUAGACCACAUUACCUGUUGCUUGUAAUUUGAAAUUCUCCUCUCAUAAGUAUGUGGAUAUAUUAUUGUAGAUCGUCCCGAAGGACAACCUGCACUUGAUUGGCCAAUAAGACAACGCAUUGCAUUGGAAUCUGCCAGAGGCCUUGCUUAUUUACAUGAUCACUGUGAUCCAAAAAUUAUUCACCGUGAUGUGAAAGCAGCAAACAUAUUGUUGGAUGAGGAAUUCAAAGCAGUUGUUGGAGACUUUGGGUUGGCUAAACUCAUGGACUACAGGGAUACACAUGUUACCACAGCUGUACGUGGCACAAUUGGUCAUAUAGCACCAGAGUACCUUUCAACUGGAAAAUGUUCCGAGAAAACUGAUGUUUUUGCAUACGGAGUCAUGCUUCUUGAACUCAUCACUGGGCAGAGGGCUUUUGAACUUGCUCGGCUUGCGACCAAUGAUGAUGUCAUGUUACUUGAUUGGGUAUGCUUAUACGUGUUUCUGUUUCUGUUUGUUGCUAAUUUUCUGUUUUCCUUAAUAUGUUUCAUAUUUUAUUAAAAAAAAAAGACAUAAUGUUGUUGAAAUUCAACGAUCUAUUGUGUCUCUUUGUCCAAAUCUUGGAAAUUAUGUUUCAAUACUCAUUUUUAAAGAAAUGUUAUAUAAUAUAGUGUGAAUUAGGUGUAUCUCUCGAUACCAAUGUUGCUAUUUAUUUAAGCCAAAAAUAAUGGGUCUCGACACCUAAUCACUUUAUUUCAAACCGCUAAUCUCAUAUGACAUUCUUAAUCAUUGUAUAUGGAACAUUUAAAAACCUAUUACUCAUCAUAGAGCUGCCAAGUUCCUCUCUAAUUAAUGUAAAAAUCACUUAGUCUUUUUUGGCCCGAAUAUUGAAAACAAUUAGAAUCAUGGAUCAAAGAAAAGAACUAAUACUUAACUUUUAGAAAAUAAUUUUAGUUUAAUUACCUUUUAUUAGUUAGACUUACGAUUAAACUGUGAAGAUUUAUUUAUCUUUAUUUAUAACAAUCUAAGAUUUAAAUUGUCAGAGAUUAAUUAUUACAUUUCCUUGGUAAUUGUUGUUAGUAUUGUUGUUGCUUCUUUUGCCAAUGUAUUGGCCUUGCGGUGAUUUCUUGAAGAUUUUGGCAUGUGUUUUGUAUCGAUCCUAAUUUCUUCAUUAUCUCUUUAUUCUCGCUAUCUUGGCCUCUUUCUUCUUUCUAUUCUCUGUUUGCAUCCUUGUCAUAUGUUUGCAUCAUAUCAAUAUUUGAAUGACGAUGCAUUUUUGUAAGCAGUUUGAUUUUAUGGAGAUACUGCAGCCCUUCAAAUUUUGAACAUUACAACACAUUUUCACUCUCCUAGGUGCCCUCACCUUUUGUUUCAAAUUGUAGAACUAUCUGAUUUUUUUCCUUUUUAUUUUAACUAAAAUAAUUAGGUCAAAGGACUACUGAAGGAUCAGAGGUUGGAAACAAUUGUUGAUGCUGAUCUACAUGGAAAUUAUGUUGACGAUCAAGUGGAGCAGCUCAUCCAAGUAGCUCUGCUGUGCACACAAGGCACCCCAGGGGAACGACCCAAGAUGUCAGAGGUUGGCCGGAUGCUGAAAGGUGAUGGUUUGGCUGAAAGAUGGGAGGAGUGGCAAAAAAAGGAGGUGUUCCGCCAAUAUUUCAACCCUAUUCAUCAUCCAAGUACUAAUCGGAUCAUAGACUCAACUUCUCAUGGUCCUCUAGAUGAGUUGUCCGGUCCUAGAUGAUAUGCUCGUUGGUUCCGUCCCCUUGUAUACAUGUAAGAAGCCUCAGAGGACUAGAGAAGGUCCAUUUUGUAUUUCAGUGAUACCACAUUUGUGCGAAUGUUUUGUCUUUGUUUUCGAUUUUGUUUUUGUGUCGCUUAUUUUUAAGAUCACAAAAAUGGAGCUGGUGCUGUUGUAAUUUUUAUAGGGUUAACUGGCAUUACGAAGUUAUAUUGUGCUAGCAGGAAUCAGGAAGGUCCAUAAAAGCACCCAUUCCUAAUGAUUUAUGUAUCUUUCCAACAAUUAGUCCAGAUUGUCGAGUAAAUAAUCUUUCUGAACUUAUAACUAUCUAUAUUUUUUAGUGUUCUUAUAGAUCCUAUAGAUACAUCCUAUAGAUACGAUAAGGGCAUUAGGUCAAGUGCAUGGGUGCUUGUGGACGGAUAGUGUUUGAAAUUUCAUUGUGAUCAUUGCAAGUGCAACUUUGUGGCGCUACCCUUAUAAGCACUUGAACUAAGGCAUUAGGGGAUCUAGAGAUCACUUUGUGUCACUCCAACAUGGGAAUUCGAGUUGUCUAUCCUCUUUAGAGAAUCGCCAAUGGAGACCCAAACCUAAAUAUUUGGGUUUAAACAAAAUAAAAAUGGAAUCUAACGGUGGGACUUUUUUUGUUUUUUUGAACAAAAAAUAUUAUCUACAUUAAAGGGGUAGGGGAUUAUGUUAAUCCUUAUAGUGAACAAAAAAUUACUAUUUAAUAUUUUAUAUAUUUAUUCAAAAUUUUAUAUUAUUAUAUCACUAUUUUAAUAUUUUCUUUGUGAUAUAUUUUUAUUUUUUUAUUAAUAUUUUCGGCCUGUGGGGUCCACAAUCACCCAGGCUCUUCUCUCAUUUUCUGCCAUGUGUUUUGUCUCCUCCCUCACUCCACCUCUCCCUCUCUCCCAUAAGACUCAUUUCCUCUCUCCUUCGGUGAAACCCAAUGACGCCGAAACCACCACCACCUUGCCGAUGCGACUCCAGCGGGUUACUCCACUUGAUGACCCAGGCUAGCACCACCUUCGUCAUUUUCUCCCCCUAUGUCGAACCAGCACCACUCACUUUCUUCCCCGAGGCCAUUGUUCACAUUUUUCUUUUUCGACAACAUUCAUGGCGAGUUCUCGUCGUUCAUGACAAAGGUAAGGUUCGAAAACCCUCAACAUCUUCGUAGAUUGUGUUUAUGAGUAUGACGAGGAUGUUCUUAAGAUGUUUUAGUGCUGGUUUGACGUAGAAAUACCCCAAGAGUAACAAACCCAGUGUUCCGGCAGAGAUCUGGCGGCUUUCGAGCCAUUUUUUGGCCAACUCCGGCCAAGACCAAGGAAACCAAAGGUAUAUUCCAAUUCCUUGAUCCGAAUCUGAACUCGGGAUCCGGCCCGAUCUGUUCUAAAUUGUAUAUGAAAUAUUCCAGAAUAUUCCCUGUGUUGACUUUUAAGAAAUUUUCUCAGAAACCCUCAUAGGCUAAUUUUGACGUCCCAAGUCCAUUUUUGACAUCUAUUUAGGAAAAUCAUGAAGUUUUAACAUAGUUGACCACCAAGGCGUCUCGUUGACAUUUUAGGGUUGACCGUUCACAUUUCGUUGACUUUUUACAAAAUUUGCAUUUAACCCCUCUUAGCGUAUUUCGACACUCUGAUUCUAAAUUCGCACUCCGUUUUCUCAAAUUUGAUCGUUUAAGUUGAGUUUUACUAAUGAGUCCUAAUAUUAUACUUUGGUGCGAUUACUAUCGGAGACUCCGACUUUCUUAGCUUGAAAGGAUGUGACAUCGCAGGUACUUGUGAGUGGGUCUUUUCUUUUAUAUAGUGUGUAUAUAUAUAUAUAUAUAUAUAUAUAUAUUUGUUAGUUUCCAUUUAUAUAUUUGGUAAAGAAUUUUCUAAGUUACACCUAUAUUAGGGUAACGUAUAUAAAAAUUAACGUAUUGACAGAAUUCAUGUAAUUAUACUACGUUCUAUGGGAUACACAGGUAUGCGUAUUAGUAUGGAUGCUUUAAUGGUAUUUACGGUUAUGAAUAAUAUUCCAUUGACUAGGGUUAUUGAAUUAUCGCAUUAUCAAUUUACCAUUGCAUGAUCAUAUUUGUGUUAUUUACUCAUCGUGUGCUGCACUGGUGUUAGUACUUGCCCAGGCCAGGGCCAAUCUUUCACGUGUAUGUUCACAUCGCACUGUACGCUUAGUUUGGAUCCAUUGUAGGUGUAAUCCUAUCCUAGAUUGCGAUAGGCAAUUAGGACUCAUAUGUGAGGCACUUAGCGCUAGCCUUCACGUGAUUGUAGUACUAGAGCGUAAAUCAUUGCUUACACCCAGUCAUGUUCAUGUCAGAAUACCUCUGCAUGAACUCGUGUAUCAGCAUAUGUCAAUGAGCACUCGAUGUGAUAUGUUUAUUUCUGCGAGAUAUUGUGAUUACUAUAAGUUAUGUACCUAUUUAUGAAUUUUGUGACGUAUUGAAUUCUUAAGAUUUUGCAGGCUACAGUAAGUAUUUUCAUACUAUACGUAGUAUGUAAAUUUUGGAAACUAUACUUGUUUUACGAUAAGGGGUUAUAAUGUUUUCAAAAAGCUUUUUAUAAAACUUUAUUUUAGGCCCACUCACCCUUGUUUUUCUCCCCUCUAAGAUUUAGUGGCAAUGUUCGUGUCGACAAGGAUUUCUAGCAAACGCUGAUAUCAGAGACUACUUCUGAUGGUAUAAUUCUCAAUCUACUCUAUUGUACUUUACUUAUACUCUGACAUCACAUGUGAACUAGGUUGAUUCCCGCUCACUAACGCACUCUUAUACUUAGGCACUUUUAGAUUUAAAUUUAUUUCCAUUUUCCAAAUCACUAUAUUUUAUGGCUUCGUCACUCUCCUGGUGUCGACCAGCACACCUCGAUUCGGAGCCUAAGUAGGCAUUCCGGGUCAGGGUGUGUCAGUUUGGUAUCAGAGCAUAAGUUUGGUCAGCAUUGCGUUCAUCACACGCGUGCUGUAAGCAUUCUUGGUUCUUGAACCUAAUUGUCGAAUCUUGUCACCUCGUCGAAUACAAAAAAUGUGUUAGCUUUUCUUGAGUUAUGGGUUACUUAGACGACUUAUUGACAUGUUAGAAGAAUACUUUGGCGACCACCUCUAAACUUUAAGCGAAGGAUUUUCCUGCCAAGGAAAUAUGUAGAUUUGAGACAAGUUGAUGGCCCUGAAGCAGGGCUACUAUAUCGAUAGUUGUGCAUCACGAGAGAUUUACCAACCAAAUCCACUACCAUCUGGUCAUUUCUACCAACCCUUUUAAGUUAGAAAACCAUAAACAGUUUUGAUUCCUUGGCAUUACCCGUUAGUAUACCACAUAUCAGAAUUCCUGUGAAGUUUUAGUUUUUGUCAAAAUUUCCAAAAAUGUCCCGAAUGACAAUGUGGUGCUAAAAGGGUAGCAUUCGACAGAAGAACAUCUAGGGGAUAAUCACUUUUGUUCCCUGAUAACACUAAUCUUCUUAAGCGCACUGGUUAUCAUUUCGGAUCCUCAGGAGGAAGAUCGAUUUCCAUUUAGGUUAUUAACAAAUUUCUUUUCCGGUGUGGACCCCACCAUUGACAUUUGGUCAACAGGUCUUGAACCAUUUGAAUUACUAAAAUUAGUAUUACUAGAGACUCAGUGAAGCUUUGCUGACUUGUCUCGGUGAGUGACUUUAAUAUAUGUGAUAUGGUGAUUACCCGAUUCUUUAUAUUACUAUCCUUUGUGGAUAUGACAUGGUUUUAUAAAUGUGUUUUCUGUUAAAAUGUGAUUCUUUUAUAAUUGGCCAUCGAUCUAUUUUUAUUAAAUGUGAUUUGAUUCAUGGAUUGGUAAUAUUUGUGAAAAAGUGAUUCGAAUUGCAUAUUGAAAUGUUUUGUAAAUUGAGGGCUAGUAGAGGACUAUGACCCUGCUUGGUUAAUCCGCAUUGGGGGGUCAUUAGUGGUCCUGCUUGGUUAAUCCGCAUUGAGGGACCAUACUAUAUAUGGAUCGUGCUUGGUUAAUCUGCGUUGGGCGAUCCUUAUGGCCAUUUAUACUUAGGGGUGAUCAUGCUUGAUUAAUCCGCUUGGUUAAUUCGCAUUGGGGGGGGGGUGAUGAGUUCAUAUUAUACUAUAUAUUUCACCCUAUUCUUAGUAUUAAUUUAUUGAUUAUUUUGGUAGAAUUUUGAUACUUUGUUUUAUAUUUUCAACAUAGGAUAUUCAAUUUCCUCUGGAACAAAACUUGACCAAAUGGACGAAAUUUCGAGUGAUUCAAAUUGGAGGACGUUCGUGUGUUGUUUGUGUCAAAAUAUCAGAAAUUUCUACCAAGCGGUUAUUUUCUGGAGAUUAAAUGAAGGAGCAGUGCGCAUUGCUGGAAAGUGACAUUUCUGGGCUUAAACUACAUUUUUGGAGCCCGAGAUGACUUCGGCUGGAGAAGUGUUCAGAAUAGUCCAAACUUUAGAUCCAGCUAUUUUGGGCCAGUUUAGGAUUAUAUUUCCUAUUUUAUUUCUAUUUAUUACGUUUCCUGGUUUUAUUCUAAGACCUUUUAGGGUUUUAUUUUGUAUUAGUAUAAAUAAGGCUUUUUAGCCAUUAGGUUAAGAAAUAGGGGAGAGAACGCACACAUUUUGGCUUUAGAGAGCUUUUGACGAAUCAAGUGUAUUUUCAAGGUGUUUUCUAUCCAUGUUUUUAAUAAUAUUUUAUUUUAUGAUUGUUUGUAAUUAGUUUUGUUUGCUAGGGUGAGGCCACGAGCCUUAGCAAAAAUAUGUAUUUUUUUUUUCAAUUUGCUUAUAAUAUUAUGCAUGCAAGUUUUGAAUUAUUAACCACUGUGCUUUAAACUAUCUAGUUGUCUUGAUGAUUGGCCACCAUUAGGAUAUUUAGAAAAGUAAUUUGAUGCAAUUUUGGUGGAGGGCUGUCCCUGGAAUUGGCGUUGGCUUCUUGUGGUUAAUAUGUGUAACCUCUUAGGAUGGACGACAUGUUUUAAGGGUUAUAUGGUUUUUCAAAAGGUUUUCACAAAACUUAAUGAGUCUUGCAUGUUCACAUUCGAUCUGGACGCCACAGACGGGUUUCAAGUAGGGCAUACUUUAGGAAAACCUAACCUUCAAAAUAUGCAUGGGUAAUUCAUAAGUAAUUGAAAGAACUACGUAGAAUUGUUAAGGUGACAACGGAACCCUAGUGCUCAAAUUUAUUUUCAAAACUAUUUUCUUUUGUUUUUUUUUAUUACUUUGCCAAUUUAUUUAAUUUUUUUUAAUAAAAUUCAUUUUUAAUAUUUUAGGUCAUAAAAUCAACCUCUUCUAAAUUUUGUUUUCAAAUCAUUAAUUAAGAUUUGGUUUUAACAUAAAUUAUUCAUUCAAUCCCUGUGGAGAUCGACCUUACUUGAGCUGCUAUACUAUGACAACCUUGUACUCUUGCAAGUAUUUUUAAAUGUUUUUAUCUCUAAUUUUGCAGGUGGUAAAAAUCCCUACCAGAGGGUCACUAGUGGUCUUGCUUGGUUAAUCCACAUUAGGGGACCAUACUAUAUGUAAAUCGUGCUUGGUUAAUCCACGUUAGGCGAUCCUUAUGGCCAUGUAUGCUUAGGAGUGAUCAUGCUUGGUUAAUCCGCAUUGGAUGAUCACUUCCUAACAGCUGUAGGAGUGACUCUGCUUGGUUAAUCCGCUUUGGGGGGGUCACUGCCUACUUGGUUACUUUCUCAUGGGUGGCUUUGCUUGGUUAAUCUGUUUUGGGAGGCCACUUCGUGUUUGGUUACUUAUGUAGGCUUCUGCCGAACUGCGUCCCUCUAGCCCUAGUUUUUAAUGUACAUAUGAACGAUGGUUUUUGAGAAUCUUGGUGGUUUGAAUGGGAAAAGCCAUUGGAUGUUUGGGUGACUCAUUCGGAGUUGUUAGAGACUUGACUAUGUUUUCAUAUUUACAAACUUAUAUUUGAGGUUUAUAAACUGUGAUUGAUGGUCUUUCUUUUUAUUGAUUAUCACAUACUUGUAUUAUUGUCACUCACCCGAUUUUACAUAUGACAGGCCUGGGUAGAUUAUGAGAAACCGCUUGAUAUUUUGGUUUCAUUGAGUAAUCCGGAACCCGGUGUCGUUGGAUUCCGUUGAGUGAUUCGAAAUCCUUGUUCUCGCUCAUUCCCAUAAGGUUAGUCUAGAACCCUAGAUUUGAGUGAAUGAAAAUUACCCACAAUAGACCUUGUGAAUAUGAAAUAGAUUUACCAUGUUAUUACUGAUAAUCCAAGUAGAAAAUUAUAUAGAGUUCCUUGGUUAAAUUUGUGAAAUGAUAUGUUAUUGCAUUCAUUGAUUAGCAUAUUUAAAUGCUAAGAUCAUGUAUCUUUGAUUCAUGAAUUGAUUGAUUGACGGAAUUGUGGAAUGACUUGGUUAUGGUUGUUAUUAUUUUGAUUAUUUUAGUUGAUCAAUGUGGCUUGAGAAUAAUAUGUGCUUCGUUGGUUAUUUGAUAUGUUACAUGUUGUGGAUGGAAGUAUCGUGCUGAAAACAUAGAAUUUAUAUGAUGGAUGGAAUGAGAAUCUUGAACGGCAUGUUGGUUUGUUUUGUAGCCAUGAACUUGGUAAUGUCAUGCAUGUCAAGUUCUAAUAAUUGAUUACAGAAUGCUAUGUAUUCCUAUUAGAACGCACUGGAAUAAAUGUCUAAAUUAGUGAACGAUGAACUACGAACGGCUUGAUCCCUAAUGAGGGUACGUAGGCAAUCUAACGAGGAGGUUAGAUGCAGCCAUAAAGUAUACGAAAAAUUACUAUGCGAUUCAAUUCUCAAGUUGUGAUUUGCCAUAUCCCGGAGGCGGGGUAUGUUGAGAUACGGGUAUUUGGUGACGUCACAUGUCGAUCCUGAACAUAUGUUGGGAUCGGGGCGUGACAUUUUUGAUCACUUCCAUAGGUAGACAGUAGAAUCAAAGUACGAGUUAAUUUCUUGCUAUUAAAGUGAAUUGAGUAUCGAGAAAACUAUGAAGACCUUUUAGUUCAUGUCGUAGAGUUGGGAAGUAGUAUUGUACGUUUUGAUGACGUAUAUCCAAGUGUCUAUUUCAAAAAUUUACCUGAGAUAUCACCAAAUUGUGAAGUAAGAUACACUAUCAACCUAUUUUCUAAUACGACACCUAUUAUCCUUGCAUCUUAUCGAACGACUCCUUUGACUUGAGAAACUUAGUUACAAAAGCUUAUCGAUUAGGAAUUCACCCAACCAAACACUUUAUCUAGGGAACCCUAAACCUAUCCAAGAAGACAAUAGGUUGAACCUUAAAACUGUAUCUAGAUUUUAGCAACUCUAUCGAGUGACAUUUAACUCCGUUAUACCAUACUUUGAAUUUAUGGUCUAUCCAACCAACCUCUGAGCCCAAGUUUUCUUCCGUAGCUUGUCAAAUUCGUAGUGGUUUUACCGAUGACUUUCUCACCUACCGUAGCAACGGGAGCAAAUUUUCUAAACACUGACAGUCAGCUUUAUACCAAAUUCCUCAAAUAUUACCUUUGUUUUAGAUUUCUUGGGAGACGUGAUCUCAACAGAGACGUUCUUGUCAAUUUCCAAAAAGGUUGCACAUGAAGAAGAUUUCAUAUUCCACAAAUCGUUGUGAAUAAUGCGAUAUCCUUGGCCUUGUUGGUUAUAUCGACAUUUCGUUAGUAACUUUUCAGCAGUGGUGUUUUUCCUUGCAAGUUGACCGAGGAAAAUCAGUUUAACUGAGAUGUGGAAUAUGAUUACAGUUGUGACAACUGAGGUGUUGUCUAUUUCUUACCCUUGUUCGUACACCUUUCGAUAACAUUGAAUGAUUUGGCUGCAUACUGAUAGAAUAUGACGAAGUAUUGCUUAUGUUUCCCAACGGUUGAAACCAUAUAAAGUGAACUAACUUACUAUUGACCUAGAGUCAACAAUUACCAUCUUUCCUUGAAACUGGAUGACACUUCUCUAUGGAGAAUCUUGUCCAAAAUCUGUACCAACCUUAGACUUCUCAAAUACAUCUUCAUUUGUAAUGAGCUAAAUUUCUGACAGUAGUGAUGGACGAACUAAAUCAACGUUUACGAUUACACUAUCGUGUAUUACCCUGGUUGUGUAAACGUAAUUACUGUUCACCGUAGUAAAAGAUGUAUCUACCCUUGAACAUUUUCAACCUGUCCUAUUCCAACUCAUUUGGAAUUCAUGAGUAUUGUUAUGACGUGACUUACGAAUCCUCAAGAAAUCGUUCGAGUGGUUAUAAUCACUUACUGUAUUUGAAUAGAGAUGAGAAAUAUCACCAUAAGUUCCUAGUACGAGGUAUUUUGUACAUGUGGAUAUUAUGAUAAUGUUUCGAUGAUUAUCUAUCAACUUGACAAGUCAGCUCACCUUCUGUUGGUCGAGAAGAACUACAUUUUAGACCACUUAUCAAAAUUUCUCAUUCUUGAACUUAUUAGACUUUUUGACGUUUUGAUCAGCAUCUAAUCUAACUGUGAUUCCCUAUUCACCAUCUUGGGCUGGAAAGCAUUCCAAUCAACCUUAGGUACGUCUUACCCUACAACACUUUGUAUUAUUUCUUAAGCAAAUAGAUUGUUUAGAUGAACCGCUGACAUUGAAGUUUUAGUUAUGACCAUUAACUCCUCAAUCACCUAACAAAUACUUUACUGAACGAAUCUUUACCAUUAGUGAUUGAAUAUUCUGAAAGCUACCGUUGUAGUGAGAUAUUAUGCAUUCAAUCCAGCCAUCUUGUACUCUAGAUUCGAUGAACUUGUUUUGACCCUCAAAUUCUUGAGUGUUCAUUUAGCCUUUUCGGCGUAAUGUUUCACUAAACCCGAGUGGAAAUUCAUAAUGAAUCUACUUGCUGAGGCAUAUGUGAAUUACAGUGUUUGGUUGCAUAGUGUGCAUGACACUACUGUAUCUUAUUAUGAUGCGCAUUUCGCUUCCAAGUUUUGGGAAGCCUUCUUGAAGGCCAUGCGUAUUAAGUUUUGUCACAUACCACAUUUCACCCUCAGACUAACGGUCAGUCUGAAUGAACUAUUCAGACCUUAGAUAACAUAUUUCUUUUGUAUGUUUUAUAGUUUUAACUGGUUAUGUUAGACACCUAUCUUUGCUUAUGUUGCGUACGACGAUAGUUAUUAUUAUGGUUUGGCUAUAGUAUUGUUUAAGCUGUGAUAUAGAGAUUUUACGCACGGAACAUGUUUGACAGACGAGUAUUGCGAACAAGUAUUCGAAUGAUCAGGAUUAAGAUGUAGCAAACUAUGAGAUAUUGACGAUGUCGCCGAAGAGGGUCAUGCGUGAAUGCAAUCAAGGCGUUAAUCAGAUGAUUUAUGUGUAUUUCCCAAUGAGGGGCAAGAUGGUAAUAUUGCACCCUCAUGAAUUAUUUGCUUGGUUAUUGUGACAACACCGUAAUAUUGAUAACUUAUUUAUUGUUUGGACUUGACCCAAAGAUACUACACUUAUUCUCGGAUUACGUGACGCUACAAGUGCAUAGGUGACAUUUUUCUAUGUUCAGUUUUGAUUUCAGUACAACUAUCUUGAUUCUACGUUAUUGUGUAUAUGUAUUUUAAUUUGACGUUAUGUUUAUAUAUAUAUUACCUUAUGUUUUUAUAAAAUAUAAUAUUAUAGUAUUGUGCUGAAGGAGAAGGAAAGUAUGAGUUUGGAGCCAUAAAAUAGGAAUCAUUGCACACCUAUCGCGACAGAAUGACAUUCUCUUUUAUGCAACCGCUCUAGCUUGAAUUCUUCUUUAUAUAUUUUCCUUCUGUCUUGAGUAUUUUAUGUUUAGCAACUUAUUUCAAAUUUUGGGGACAAAAUUUUUUUUAAGGGGUGUAUAUUGUGACAACUCGUCCCUACUUUUAUGAUUUUAUUAAUUUUAAAAGCGUGAAUUGGCAAAAAUGCUCUAGCUUGAAUUCUUCUUUAUAUAUUUUCCUUAUGUCUUGAGUAUUUUAUUUUUAGCAACUUAUUUCAAAUUUUGGGGACAAAAUUUUUUUUUAAGGUGGGUAGAUUGUGACAACCCGUCCCUACUUUUAUGAUUUAAUUAAUUUUAAAAGCGUAAAUUGACGAAAAUGCCCAAGAGGCGAGAUUAUUGACUUUCGUUGAUCGUUGUUUGUGACACGUAUGAGUUAUUACUUUACCGUACCCUUGAAGUACUCGAUGGUAAAAACGCAUAGGCGCAAGCGGAAUCGAAUUUGGAGCAACGAUGAAAAUUUUAUUGAACAAUGAAUCCGAAAAAUACUUUUGUAAAAAUUACUAUUUUAUAUUUUAUAUAUUUAUUCAAAAUUUUAUAUUAUUAUAUCACUAUUUUAAUAUAUUUCUAUGGGAUAUUUUUUAUUAUUUUAUUAAUAUUUUCGGCCCAUGGGGCCCACACUCACCCAAGCUCUCAUCUCAUUUUCUGCCAUGUGUUUUGUCUCCUCCUUCUGUCCUGUAAGACUCCCCUUUUUCUCUCCCUUGGUGAAACCUAGUGACACUGGAACCACCACCACCACCACCACCUUGCCGUUGCGACUCCGGCGAGUUACUCCACUCGAUGACCCAGGUUGGCACCACCUUCGUCGUUUUCUCCCCCCUCCAUGUCGAACGAGCACCACUCAUUUUCUUCCCCAAGGCCACUGUUCACGUUUUUCUUUUCUGACGACAUUCAUAGCAAGUUCUCGCUGUUCAUGACGAAGGUAAGGUUCGAAAACCCUCAAUAUCUUUGAACACCCUCAAUAUCUUCGUAAAUCCCGUCCCUGAUUUUCACUAUUGCAAAUUACGUAUGUGUAUUAAGGAGUUAUUAUAUUAUUUUUGGAAUUUAUAUUAAUUGUAGAGUGUUGAGAUUGUGUAUUCAAAAGAUAUCAAUGUGAAAAAGCUACAAUUAAAAAGUUGCCCUUAAUUAAUUAAGGAGAGGAAAAAAAAGGGAACUUUAACGAAAAGCUCCCGGUACUGUUCAUUUUAACGAAAAACCACAUUUUUACACUAAAAAGUCAAUCCUGGUACUAUUCACUUUACCCUUUAUUUUGUCCUUAUCGUUAAAACUCAAAGUUUUCAAGCCCUUUUCAUUAGUUUUCCUAAAAAAAAAAGAAAAGGAAUUUGGGGAGAGAAAUGAAGGAGGCUUGGCCAACGGGAAGGCGGGAGAGAAAGAAGGCUGCCAAUGAGAAAAAAGGAAAGGAGGAGGAAAGAGGGGAGGGGAGGGACACCAGAUUCCCUGCCCAAUUGUCUUUUCCGACCUGAACGCGUCAUUGCUACCACUUCCGACGGGUUUUCCGUCCAUUUUUUGGCGAUCCACCAUUUUUGAAAUAAUGUUCUUCAAUUACCACCACAAAGACACUCAUCUAGAGGUCAGGAAAAAAGCCCAAGCAAGAUUGGGGGUGUUGGAGUUCGAAUUGAGGACGAAUCAAAUGACACCCAUUUCAAGGGUUCCGGCGGAUCGAGGCAAAAUUGAAGGGUUCCCCGGCAAAAUUGGACCUCGGCCCAGGUAUGAAAAUUUCUCCCCGCACUGAUAUCUACAUGCCUGUAAAGUUUGGUAAUUUUUGGAAAUAGUUGAAUUUUCGGCAAGUCGGGGCUGCCGACCGCCACCCGCGGCGGCGGCCUGCCCAGUGGGCCGACGAUGUCCUUUUAAGUUCAAAUAGAUGCCUUGAUUUCAUAAUUGAUAUCCGUAUGACGUAAUUUGAUUGUUUGGACUUAGUUUCAUUACGAUACCUCAUGUUGAUGCACAAAACCGGAGGUUUUGGGACAAUAUAAAUCCGAUCGUGAAUCUGCAAGUAAUGUAAGUAACACAAGAUGUAUCGUGGUUCACCCCAAUGUUUGGGCUACGUCCACACUGAUUAUUGAAUUUCUUUAAGAUGCUGAAGAGGGAGAAAGAGAGUUUCUCUGUGAGGAUGAGAGCUCUGAGAGGGUGAAGGUACGGCCUAAGAAAUGGCCUCCCUUCAUGAAGAGAGUGAGGGGUCCUUUUAUAGAAUAAGGGCUCCUCACUUAUUACAUAUUUGCCCUUUAUUUAUUACAUAAUUACAUUUGAGUCCCCCGAGUAUUUAUACGAGAUCUAAAAACGGAGGCCCUAAGUAUGGUAUAAACAGUAAUCCCCCAAGUCUUCAGUCAAGAUAGUCUUUUGGCUGGAGACUUGAAAUUCAGUCCAUGUGUGGACCAAAGUAACUAGACAUCGUCUAGGACUGAUACUCGAUAUGAGGCGGUGCUCAAUCUGAAAUGAUGCUCAACUAGAAGUAGCACAUGUUGCGAGGCUGCUUGGCUUGUGGCUUAUGUUGUCUUGGUUGGCUUGGCUUGUGGCAUUGAAGGUAAGGGAGUCCCUUUUAUAGAAUAAGGGCUCGCUCCUCAAUACAUGAAUGAUAGGCUAGAGUUGAUGCUCGCGGCGAGGGCAUUGCUCAGCUGGCGACGAUGCUCUCUAAUGAUGGUGAGGGAGUCUCUUUUAUAGAAUAAGGGCUCGCUCCUCAAUACAUAAGUGAUGAGUUAGGAGUGAUGUUCCCGGCGAGGCGAUUGCUCAGCUGGCGGCGAUGCUCUCUAAUAAAGGUGAGGGAGUCCCUUUUAUAAAAUAAGGGUUCGCUCCUCAGUACAUGAAUAAUGGGUGCUUUCUAAUGAAAGUGAGGGAGUCCCUUUUAUAGAAUAAGGGCUCGCUCAUCAGUACAUAAAUAAUGGGCUAAGUCCCCCAAGUAUUUUUCAUGAGGCCCAGUUGAGGCCCAAUAAAUGGUACAUAAUGUAGUCCCCCAAGUCUUCGGUCAAUAGAGUCUGUUGGUUGGACACUUCAAAUUGAAUCCAAGUAUGGGCUGAAGUGGCGGUUGUUCGGAGGCGGUAUUUGUAUACCCUGCACUGAAGCUUUGUAGGUGAAGCUUUGCAAGUGAAGCUUUGAAGCUAGAGCUCUGUAAAUGAAGCUUUUAAAGCUAGAGCUCUAUAAAUGAAGCUUUUGAAGCUAGAGCUUUGUAAAUGAAACUUCUGAAGCUAGCGCUUUUGUGAAUGAAGCUUUUGAAGCUAGAGCUCUGUAAAUGAAGCUUUUGAAGCUGAUUGACAUGAGUGAUGGUCAUGAAUGUUUAUGUUGAUUGACAUGAGUGAUGCUCAUGGAUGUUGAUGAAUGAUGGUCAUGAAUGUUUAUGUAUGAUUGACAUGAGUGAUGUUCAUGAAUGUUUAUGUAUGAUUGACAUGAGUGAUGCUUAUGUAUAAUUUUGGAGUACUGGAUGUACUUUUGAUCACCUGAUUGGUGAUAAUAGCGGCAGGCUGCCAAAUAAUUUUGGAGUACUGGGCGUACUUUAGAUCACCUGGUUGAUGAUAAUAGCGACAGGUUGCCGAAUAAUUUUGGGAGUACUGGGCGUACUUUAGAUCACCUGGUUGAUGAUAAUAGCGACAGGUUGCCGAAUAAUUUUGGGAGUACUGGGCGUACUUUUGAUCACUUGGUUGGUGAUAAUAGCGGCAGGUGCCGAAUAAAUUUGGAGCCAUAGGGCCUGGCUCUUUUGGGCAUAUGGGCAUUCGCCCUCCACAUGACAUUGCAGCCCACUAUUUUGGGCUUGCCCUUUUUUUUUAAAAUUUUUUUUAUUAUUACCCUCUGAUGGGGUUUAUAUAGAUGUCUCCGAAAGAUAAGAAAAAUAAAUUAUAUCAUUCAAAAAUAAAUCUCACCCUCUGCUCAAUGGGUUAUGCCCAUAAUUCCCUUUUCUGCAUGCCAUCACCACCGCAAUUAUGUCUGCUUCUUUUUAUCUUCUUUUGCUUUCUGCUUUUUACUUUCUGCUUUUCUUUUGCUUUCGGCCUGGUUGGUGCUAAGACCUUGUAGUGGGAUGGCAAACAGCUUGGCAUCAUUAUGUCUGAAUUCCUUUAUCAUCGUGGUGCCGAACCACUUUCCAGUUGUGUGUUUAAAGGAACCUGUUUUACCUUCACUGCUUUUUGACCAUACUUCCUCCAUCUAUACCCAAUUGAAGUAAUGAUUACUCCCCUGGAGCCGAUACUAGACCGGUUGAGUCAUUCUGGGAGGCAGCGGAAUGUUGACGUCUGCAACGUGCGGACCGAAGCCCAAAUGCGACGUCGUUUGGCCUGCCACCAGAAGAAGAAACAAACCGAGCAAAACAUUGAAACUCACCAGAGAGAUCGCCGGAGUCAGAGCUUAAGAGAGUAAACACCCAUGAUCCAUGUGAAGAGAGUGAGAGAGUGAGAGCAUGAGAGAGUAAACUCAUCCAAAUUAGAGUAAACUCACACAACUCCGGCCACAGAGUCGUACUCUUCCAUACCAACAUUUCCAUUUCCAACACUACCCUCCACGUUCUUCUUCACCCUCCCUGCAAUCACACGGCACACCAACAUUGCCCUCUUGUCACCCUCCUUCGUCGCCACCACCGCUUUAUCAUGAGCUCUGCUGCUUGUCGCAGUUGUCAAAAUACCCAGCUCCGUCAACUCCCCAGAGAACUUGUUGAAGCCGUUUUUUAUAAUGAUGCAAACAUUGCAGUGUGGGAUUAAGUUACUUGGAGAGCUUGGUGGCAAAGGUGGUGUAGUGGAAACGGAUGAGCUCGUUGCCGUCAGCGAUGCAGCGGGGGUGUUUCUUGGAGAGCUUGGUGGCUUUUACUUUGAUGGAGUCUCUAUACUCUUUGAAUUUGGUGAUGGUAUCUUGGGUGUUAUGGACUUUAAGGAUGCGGUCGAUUUUGUAGAUUGGGGUUCUUUUUUCAGCCAGCUGGACUGGAAUAUGAUCUCCACUAUGUUCUUGCUAGUAUCAUCAGGACUCCGAGCUUGUAUGGUGUCUCUACCGUCACAAGGAGAAGAUCAACCUCGCUGGUCACGAAGAGAAGAUCAGCCUCCGCUACUCAAGCUCCGACUCCAGCGAUCUCUCUUGUGAGUUUCACUGUUUUGCUCGGUUUGUUUCUUCUUCUGGUGGCGGGCCAAACGACGUCGCAUUUGGGCUUCGGUCCGUAAAUUGUAGACAUUAACAUUCUGCUGCCUCCCAGAAUGACUCAUCUGGUCUAGUAUCGGCUCCAGGGAGUAAUGAUUGCUUCAAAUGGGUAUAGAUAGAGGAAGUAUGGUAAAAAAGCAGUGAAGGUAAAACAGGUUGCUUUAAACACACAGCUGGAAAGUGGUCCGGCACCACGAUGAUAAAGGAAUUCAGACAUAAUGAUGCUAAGCUGUUUGCCAUCCCACUACAAGGUCCCAGCACCUACCAGACUGAAAGCAAAAGAAAAGCAGAAAGCAAAAGAACAUAAAAAGAAGCAGACAUAAUUGCGGUGGUGAUGGCAUGCAAAAAAGGGAAUUAUAGGCAUAACCCAUUGAGCAGAGGGUCGGAUUUAUUUUUGAAUGAUGUAAUUUAUUUUUCUUAUCUUUCGGAGACAUCUGUAUAAACCCCUUCAGAGAGUAAUAAUAAAAAAUUAAAAAAAAAACGGCAAGCCUAAAAUAGUGGGCUGCAAUGUCAUGUGGAGGGUGAAGACCCAUAUGCCCAAAAGAGCCAGGCCCUAUGGCUCCAAAUUUAUUCGGCACCCUGCCGCUAUUAUCACCAACCAAGUGAGCAAAAGUACGCCCAGUACUCCCAAAAUUAUUCGGCAACCUGCCGUUAUUAUCACUAACCAGGUGAUCAAAAGUACAUCCAAUACUCCAAAAUUAUUUGGCAGCUUACCGUUAUUAUCACUAACCAGGUGAUCAAAAGUACGUCCAGUACUCCAACAUUAUACAUGAGCAUCACUCAUGUCAAUCAUACAUAAACAUUCAUGACCAUCAUUCAUCAACAUCCAUGAGCAUCACUCAUGUCAAUCAACAUAAACAUUCAUGAGCAUCACUUAUGUCAAUCAGCUUCAAAAGCUUCCUUUACAGAGCUCUAUCUUCAAAAGCUUCAUUUACAGAGUUUUAGCUUCAAAAGCUUCAUUUACAGAGCUCUAGCUUCAAAGCUUCACUUGCAAAGCUUUCACCUACAAAGCUUCAGUGCAGGGUAUACAAAUACCGCAUCCGAACAAUCGCCACUUCGGCAUAUACAUGGAUUCUAUUUGAAGUCUCUAGCCAACAGACUUUAUUGACCGAAGACUUGGGGGACUACAUUAUGUACCAUAUAUUGGGCCUCAACUGGGCCUCAUGAAAAAUACUUGGGGGACUUAGCCCAUUAUUUAUGUACUGAGGAACGAGCCCUUAUUCUAUAAAAAGGACUCCCUCAAUUUCAUUAGAGAGCACCUAUUAUUCAUGUACUGAGGAGUGAGCCUUUAUUUUAUAAAAGAGACUCCUUCACCUUCAUUAGAGAGCAUCACCACCAGCUAAGCAACCGCCUCGCCGCGAGCAUCACUCCUAACUCAUCACUUAUGUAUUGAGGAGCGAACCCUUAUUCUAUAAAAUGGACUCCCUCACCAUCAUUAGAGAGCAUCGUCGCCAGCUGAGCAACUGCCUCGCCGCGAGCAUCAACUCUAGCCCAUCAUUUAUGUUUUGAGGAGCAAGCCCUUAUUCUAUAAAAGGGACUCCCUCACCUUCAACGCCAUAAGCCGAGCCAACCAAGGCAACAUAAGCCACAAGCCGAGCAGCCUCGCAACAUGUGCUACUUCUAGUUGAGCAUCAUUUCAGAUUAAGCACCGCCUCAUAUCGAGUAUCAGUCCUAGAUGACGUCCAGUUACUUCGCCCACACAUGGACUGAGUUUUAAGUCUCCAGCCAAAAGACUCUAUUGACUGAAUACUUGGGGGACUACUGUUUAUACCAUACUUAGGGCCUCCGUAUUUAGAUCUCGUAUAAAUACUAGGGGGACUCAAAUGUAAUUAUGUAAUAAAUGAAGGGGCAAAUAUGUAAUAAGUGAGGAGCCCUUAUUCUAUAAAAGGACCCCUCACUCUCCUCAUGAAGGGAGGCCAAAUCUUAGGCCAUACCCUCACCAUCUCAGAGCUCUCAUCCUCACAAAAAAGCUCUCUCUCUCCCUCUUCAACAUCUCGGAGAAAUACAAUAAUCAGUGUGGACGUAGCCCAAACAUUGUGGUGAACCAUGAUACAUCUUGUGUUAUUUACAUUUCUUGCAGAUUCAUGGUCGAAUUUACGUUGUCCCAAGACCUUCGGUUUUGUGCAUCAACAUAUUUGAUGGAUGAAAUAGAAACCUUGAUUAUCAUGUGGGUUGUUAUGUAGCUUGAAUUGAAUAAUUCAUGCUUGUCAAGUCCAACUGUUUGAUUGAGGAAUGUUAUGCCUUUUGGCUUGAGUGAAUAGUGUUAUAUGUCGAGUUAUAAAGACGUUGAACUACGAAUGGCUUGAUCCCUAUUGAGGGUACAUAGGCAAUCUAACGAAGAGGUUAGAUGCAGCCAUAAUGUAUACGCAAAAUUAUUAUGCAUCUAGAUCUUGAAUUAUAUUUUGUACAUAUCCAAAAAGGCGGGAUACGUUGAGUUACGAGCAUUUAGUGACGUCACGUGUCGAUCUGAGAUGUAUGUCGGGAUUGGGGCGUGACAAUUUAUCCCAGCCAUCUUUUUCCAGAUUCUGACGGUUGUAGCGGCAACCAGCUGAGAAGAAGAAAAAAAAGAAAAAAAAGGAAAAAAAAAAAAAGGAAGCCUAGAUCCGCGACCCGGAUCUAGCCCAACCUGAUUCUAAAAUGCAUAUGGAAUAUUCUUAGUGUUGACCUUUAAGAAAUUUUCUCGGAAAUCCUCCUAGGCUAAUUUCGACGUCUAGAGUCCAUUUUUGACUUCCAUUUAGGAAAAUUUUGAAGUUUUAACAUAGUUGACCACCGGGCCGUCUUUGUUGACUUUUUAAGUUUGAUCGUUCACUUUUCGUUGACUUUUUACAAAAUUUGCCUGGGACCCCUCUUAGCGUAUUUCGACGCUCUGAUUACUAUCGGAGACUCAGACUUUCUUAGCUUGAAAUGAUGUGACAUCGCAAGUACCUAUGAGUGGGUCUUUUCUUUUAUAUAGUACAUAUAUAUAUAUAUUUGUUAGUUUCCAUUUAUAUAUUUGGUAAAGAAUUUUCUACGUUACGCCUAGAUUAGGGUAACGUAUAUAAAAAUUAACGUAUUGAAGGAAUUCAUGCAAAUAUACUACGUCCUACGAGAUACACAUGUAUGCGUAUUAGUAUGGAUGCUUUAAUGGUAUUUACGGUUUUGAAUAGUAUUCCAUUGACUAGGGUUAUUGAAUUAUCGAUUUACCAUUGCAUGAUCAUAUUUGUGUUAUCUGCUCAUCGUGUGUUGCACUGGUGUUAGUACUUGCCUAGGCUAGGGCCAGUCUUUCACAUGUAUGUUCAAUUCGCACUGUACGCUCACUUUGGAUCCAUUGUAGGUGCCAGUCCUGUCCUCGAUUGCAAUAGGCAAUUAGGACUCGUAUGUGACGUGCUUAGCACCCGUUUUCAUGUGAUUGUAGUACUAGAGCGUAAAUCAUUAUUACACCCAGUCCUAUUCAUGUCAGAAUACCUUUGCAUGAACUCGUGUGUCAACAUAUGUCGAUGAGCACUCGAUGUGAUAUGUUUAUUUCUGCAAGAUAUUGUGAUUACUAGAAGUUAUGUACCUAUUUACGAAUUUUGUGACGUAUUGAAUUCUUGAGAUAUUGCAAACUACUGUAAGUAUUUUCAUACUAUACGUAGUAUGUAUAUUUUGGAAACUAUACUUGCUUUACGGUGAGGGGUUAUAAUGUUUUCAAAAAGCUUUUUAUAAAACUUUAUUUUUAAGCCCACUCAUCCUUGUUUUUCGUCCCUCCAGGAUUUAGUGGCAAUGUUCGUGUCGACGAGGAUUUCUGGCAAACGUUGAUAUCGGAGACUACUUCCGAUGGUAUAAUUCUCAAUCUACUAUACUGUACUUUACUUAUGCUCUUAUAUCACGUGUGAAAUGAGUUCAUUCACGCUCACUAGCGCACUCUUAUACUUAGGCACUUCUAGAUUUAAAUUUACUCACAUUUUUCACAUCACUACUCAUUAAUGAAAUCUUUAUUUUCCUAAAAGAUUAUUGCCUCAUAUGAGAAAGUCCCUAUAAUAUAAACCCUAAAUUUGAAGUUUACAUAAUUUUAUGUGAUAAUUUCAUUGGAAGCUAAUUCUUUUAGUUAAUUUAACUUGAUUUUAUUGUAAAAUAUUUUUUGUGUAAUAUUAUUACCCAAAAAGGUUCAAAAUUCUCAAAGCCAAAUUUUAUUCCAAUGGAGUUUUAAUGAAAAGUCCGCGGUACUGUUCACUUUAACGAAAAACCACAUUUUUACACUAAAAAUUCAAACUUAGUACUAUUCAUUUUACCUUUUAUUUUGUCCUUAUCAUUAAAACUCAAAGUUUUCGAGCCAUUUUCAUUAGUUUUCCUUUUAUUUGGGAGUUUUAACGAAAAGUCCGCGGACCCGGCUUUGCAACCCGGACCCAGCUUCUCUGCUCUCCCAGUUUCCAUACACUCUCAUCCCCUCCUAUUUUGUGCGAUCACGAUUAAGCACGUUAACAUUUUAUAUUGAUUUUUUUAUAGACAUAAUAAGACAAAAAACGAUAGUGAUAUAAAAUAUUGACGUGACUUAACAUUUGACAAAAAUUGAAGAUAAUUUUGUUUUUUUGACUAAAUGAUCAAAAUAAUUGGUGGCGAAUAAAAUCAGAAAUCUCACUUUGAAGAAACGAAACUUCCGACGUGGUGGGCUGCGACUUUUGACUGAUUGAGAGUCCUCCAUCCGCAGCUCCUCCGUCUUCCUCCCAAGCCUUUUACCUUUUCUUUCUUUCUUCUCCAAAACUAGCAAUCUGAGAUUUGAACCUCUCUCUCUAAGAAGCAGCGGCAUGCUUUUCCAAACGUAAUCUGCAAUUUAAUCAAACAGCCACCGAAUUUUCUGGAAUCCUGUCAACGCAGAGAUGCUUCGGAUUUUGAUCGGUCAACGCCAGCUGCUUACCUGAGCUCCAAAAGAUCCAACAGUGAUGACGUCCUCCACCUCUGUUUCUGUUUGGCUGAUUCUGCUGUUUGGCUUCUUUCACCUCUACAAGCUUGCUGCCAAUGUCGUCUCUGUGUGUUAUUGAAUUUGGGAGUGUUUGGUUGUGGGAACCGGAAUGAACUAAUGAAUGAAUGAAUGAAUGACUGAAUGACUGGAAACAUUCCCGAAGAGCUUGGGGGUUUGUCAGACUUGGUGAGCUCGGAUCUUUACUUGGCAACCUUGCAAAACUGCGUUUCCUAUAUGAACCCGCAUCCUUUUGUUAGAUAAAAUCUAUCGUCUUUCUUUUUUAUUCGAUAUGCUAAUCUGCUGUUUUUAAUUGUUCCAUUGGAGUGACUUUCUUCCUUAAAGUCCUUGUGCCGGAUGCAUAUAAUUUAUAGUAUGAUCCCUGGUUUCAAGAUUCACAAGAAGGGAACAUCCAGUCAUUGCAAGUCCUGUGAAUUUCAUACACUUUCAUCUCAGUAAGAGGGAGGAGAGAGUGAAAAGUUACUAAUUUCUCUACCAUCGGAGAAUGCAAAUAACAUAUAGUUUUGCCAUGGAAUGCAGGGAUCUUUCAAAUAACAAUCUGACAGGGAAUAUUCCAGUUAAUGGAUUCUUUUCACUUUUUACUCCCAUCAGGUUUGUUGAAGCAACUUUACUCUUUUUCUUUAACUUUAGGGACAAAAAUAACAAUCUGACAGGGGAUACACUUUCAUCUCAGUAAGAGGGAGGAGAGGGUAAUAUAGCUUGAUCAAGUUGGUGUUGUAGUUGUUGUAUGGGAUGCAGCUCAAAAACUUUUCUUUGCGCGACCUACAAGUUGCAACGGAUACCUAUAGCGACAAAAAUAUUAUUGGUAGAGGUGGAUUUGGUAAGGUUUAUAGAGGACGCUUAGCUGAUGGAACUCUGGUUGCUGUAAAAAGACUUACACAGGAGAGAACCCAAGACGGGGAACUACAGUUCCAAACAGAAGUUGAAAUGAUUAGAAUGGCUGUCCACCACCGCAAUCUGCUUUGUCUGCAUGGUUUUUGCAUGACACCAACAGAAAGGCUGCUUGUAUAUCCUUAUAUGGCUAAUGGAAGUGUGGCAUCUUGUUUAAGAGGUACUCAUCUAAAUUGUUUGCUGCGUUGAUGAAUCUUUUUGUUUUCACGACGUUAAAUUUUUUUUCGAUCACAUUGAUAUAAUGAAUUUAAAAACCUGACCAAUUUGGCUUGGAGUAUCAGCACUAAUUUUUUUAAUGUUUUUUUUCCUUCAAUUUUAAGUUACCUUCUCGAUGCUGAUUUUAUUUCUGUUUAAUUUGAAAAGGAUGACAAGAAGACCCUUUUUUUGGGUAGGACGGGUGGUAUGAUAUGUGUUAGACCACAUUACCUAUUGCUUGUAAUUUGAAAUUCUCCUCUCAUAAGUAUGUGGAUAUAUUAUUGUAGGUCGUCCGGAAGGACAACCUGCACUUGAUUGGCCAAUAAGACAACGCAUUGCAUUGGGAUCUGCAAGAGGCCUUGCUUAUUUACAUGAUCACUGUGAUCCAAAAAUUAUUCACCGUGAUGUGAAAGCAGCAAACAUAUUGUUGGAUGAGGAAUUCGAAGCAGUUGUUGGAGACUUUGGGUUGGCUAAACUCAUGGACUACAAGGAUACAUAUGUUACCACACAUGUAUGUAGCACAUUUGGUCAUAUGGCACCGGAGCACUUUUCAACUGGAGUGUCUUCCGAGAAAACUGAUGUUUUUGGAUACGGAGUCAUGCUUCUUGAACUCAUCACUGGGCAGAGGGCUUUCAAUCCUCAGCUUGCGAGUGAUGAUGAUGUCAUGUUAGUUGAUUGGGUAUGCAUUUACGUCUUUCUGUUUGUGUAUGUAGCUAGUUUAUUGUUAUAUGAUUAUUUCCCAACAACAUUUGCAUUUCCUUAGUAAUUAGCUUUUAGAAAAUAAGUUUGGUUUAAUUAGCUUUUAUUAGUUAGAGUUAUGAUUAGCUGUGUAGAUUUUUUUAUCUUUAUUUAUAACAAUCCAAGGUUUAAACUGUCAGAGAUUAAUUAUUGCAUUUCCUUAGUAAUUGUUACUAUUGUUGUUGCUUCUUUUGCCAAUGUAUUGGCAUUUUGUGAUUUCUUGAAGAAUUUGGCAUAUGUUUUGUGUCGAUCCUAAUUUCCUCAUCAUCUCCUUAUUCUUGCUAUCUUGGCCUCUCGCUUUUUCCUAUUCUCUCUAUUGCAUCUUUGUCUUCUCUUUGCAUGAUAUCAAUAUUUGAAUGACGAUACAUUUUUGUAAGCAGUUUGAUUUUCUGUAGAAAAAAGUUUGAACAUUACAACACAUUUUUGUUCUCCUAGAUUCCCGCACCUUUUGUUUCAAAUUGUCGAACCACCCGACAAUUUCUGUUUUAUUUUUCCUAAAAAAAUUAGGUCAAAUGACUACUGAAAGAUCGGAGGUUGGAAAGACUUGUUGAUGCUGAUCUAAAUGGAAAUUAUAUUGACGAUCAAGUGGAGCAGCUGAUCCAAGUAGCUCUACUGUGCACACAAGGCUCCCCAGGGGAACGGCCCAAGAUGUCAGAGGUUGUCCAAAUGCUUGAAGGCGAAGGCGAAGGUUUGGCUGAAAGAUGGGAGGAGUGGCAAAACAAGGAGAUGAUCCGCCAAGAUUUCAACACUAUUCAUCAUCCAAGUACUUGGAUCAUAGACUCACCUUCUCCUAAUUUUGUGUUGUACUAUUUCUGUGAGUUUGAAGAAAUGGAUAAAAAGAAAGGAAAACCAAUGAAAAAGGCUUGAAAACUUUGAGUUUUAAUGAUAAGGACAAAAUAAAGGGUAAAGUGAAUAGUACCAGGAUUGACUUUUUAGUGUAAAAAUGUGGUUUUUCAUUAAAGUGAACAGUACCGGAUGCUUUUCGUUAAAGUUCCCUAAAAAGAAUGACAUGUGAUAGAGAGUUCAUCAUAUAGCUUCUGACUUUAAGGAUUUUUCAUUUAGUUCUAGUUCAUGUUGCGCAAAAAAUAUUAGGUAACACUGCUACUGGGGCUAUUGCAGGAGGGGUUGCUGUUGGUGCUGCUUUACCGUUUGCUGCACCUGCAAUUACACUUGCUUAUUGGCGACGGAGAAAACCACAGGAUCAUUUCUUUGAUGUACCUGGUUAGUGAACUAUAGGAGUAAUAUAGCUUGAUAAAGGUGGUGUUGUAGUAUGGGAUGGAGGUUUCACUAAUCUACUGUCUUUGCAGCUGAGGAGGAUCCAGAAGUUCUUUUAGGACAGCUCAAAAGGUUUUCUUUGCGCGAACUACAAGUUGCAACGGAUACCUUUAGUAACAAAAAUAUUCUUGGUAGAGGUGGAUUUGGUAAGGUUUAUAAAGGACGCUUAGCUGAUGGAACUCUGGUUGCUGUAAAAAGACUUAAAGAGGAGAGAACCCAACGUGGGGAGCUACAGUUUCAAACAGAGGUUGAAAUGAUUAGCAUGGCUGUCCACCGCAAUCUGCUUCGUCUGCGUGGUUUUUGCAUUACACGAACAGAAAGGCUGCUUGUAUAUCCUUAUAUGGCUAAUGGAAGUUUGGCAUCAUGUUUACGAGGUACUCUUCUAAAUUGUUUGCUGCGUUGAUAAAUCUUCUUGUUUUCACGAAAUUAAAAAAUGGGUAAAUUACAUUUUACACCCUCAGGUUUGAGUGUAAUUGUAACCUCAUACAAUAUUUUUAAAACAUUUCAAUUUUAUACAUUUCCUUAUCAUUUCUAGCAAUUUCAUACAUCUGUUAGUCAAACCGUGAGUUUGACUGUUAAGGAAUGACAUGGCAAAUGUGAGGUCCACAUUUUUAUUGACGGGGAUGCCAACUAUGAUUCACGUGGAAUAAAAACAAAUAAAAAAGAUUAAUAAAUAGAAAAUUAAAUUUUUUUAUAAUUAAAAACUAAAAAAAUAGAAAAGAUAAAAAAAAUGGUGUUGUUCAUCCCUUUCCUGCUCUCACCCCGUCCCCGCAUUCUUCAUUUCCCCCCGCCCACCAUCGCCACCUUCCCUUUCCUCAGCCACUGCAAUGAAUAGACCACAUUACCUGUUGCUUGUAAUUUGAAAUUCUCCUCUCAUAAGUAUGUGGAUAUAUUAUUGUAGAUCGUCCAGAAGGACAACCUGCACUUGAUUGGCGAAUAAGACAACGCAUUGCAUUGGAAUCUGCAAGAGGCCUUGCUUAUUUACAUGAUCACUGUGAUCCAAAAAUUAUUCACCGUGAUGUGAAAGCAGCAAACAUAUUGUUGGAUGAGGAAUUCAAAGCAGUUGUUGGAGACUUUGGGUUGGCUAUACUCAUGGACUACAGGGAUACACAUGUUACCACAGCUGUACGUGGCACAAUUGGUCAUAUAGCACCAGAGUACCUUUCAACUGGAAAAUGUUCCGAGAAAACUGAUGCUUUUGCAUACGGAGUCAUGCUUCUUGAACUCAUCACUGGGCAGAGGGCUUUUGAUCUUGCUCGGCUUGCGAAUGAUUAUGAUGUCAUGUUACUUGAUUGGGUAUGCUUUUACGUCUUUCUGUUUCUGUUUGUUGCUAAUUUAUUGUUAUAUGCAAGAUUAUUUUCCAACAAUAUUUGAAUGAGGUCCACCUUUGAGAGUUUUAACGAAAAGUCCACGGUACUGUUCACUUUAACGAAAAAUCAUAUUUUUACAUUAAAAAGUUAAUCCUGAUACUAUUCACUUUACUCUUUAUUUUGUCUUUAUCGUUAAAACUCAAAGUUUUGAAGCCUUUUUCAUUAGUUUUCCUUAAUAUCUUUCAUAUUUUAUAAAAUAAAAAAAAAGACAUAAUGUUGUUGAAAUUCAACGAUAUUCUUGCUUCGAUCUAUUGUUUCCCUAAGUCCAAAUCUUGGAAAUUAUGUUUCAAUACUCAUUUUAAAGAAAUGUUAUAUAAUAUACUGUAAAUUAGGUGUAUCUCUCGAUACCAAUGUUGCUAUUUAUUUAAGCCAAAAAUAAUGGGUCUCGACACCUAAUCACUUUAUUUCAAACCGCUAAUCUCAUAUGACAUUCUUAAUCAUUGUAUAUGGAACAUUUCUGCAAUCAUUUUAGUUGGUUCUUUGCAAUACUUUAAAAACCUAUUACUCAUCAUAGAGCUGCCAAGUUCCUGUCUAAUUAAUGUAAAAAUCACUUAGUCUUUUUUGGCCCGAAUAUUGAAAACAAUUAGAAUCAUGGAUCAAAGAAAAGAAAUAAUACUUAACUUUUAGAAAAUAACUUUAGUUUAAUUAGCUUUUAUUAGUUAGACUUACGAUUAAGCUGUGAAGAUUUAUUUAUCUUUAUUUACAACAAUCUAAGAUUUAAAUUGUCAGAGAUUAAUUAUUACAUUUCCUUGGUAAUUGUUGUUAGUAUUGUUGUUGCUUCUUUUGCCAAUGUAUUGGCCUUGCUGUGAUUUCUUGAAGAAUUUGGCAUGUGUUUUGUAUCGAUCCUAAUUUCCUCAUUAUCUCUUUAUUCUCGCUAUCUUGGCUCUUUCUUCUUUUUAUUCUCUGUUUGCAUCUUUGUCAUAUGUUCGCAUCACAUCAAUAUUUGAAUGACGAUGCAUUUUUGUAAGCAAUUUGAUUUUCUGGAGAUACUGCGGCCCUUCAAAUUUUGAACAUUACAACACAUUUUCACUCUCCUAGGUGCCCUCACCUUUUGUUUCAAAUUGUAGAACUAUCUGAUUUUGUUCCUUUUUAUUUUAACUAAAAUAAUUAGGUCAAAGGACUACUGAAAGAUCGGAGGUUGGAAACACUUGUUGAUGCUGAUCUAAAUGGAAAUUAUGUUUACGAUCAAGUGGAGCAGCUCAUCCAAGUAGCUCUACUAUGCACACAAGGCACCCCAGGGGAACGACCCAAGAUGUUAGAGGUUGUCUGGAUGAUGGAAGGGCGAUGGUUUGGCUGGGAGGAGUGGCAAAAAGAGGAGGUGUUCCACCAAGAUUUCAACCCUAUUCAUCAUCCAAGUACUAAUUGGAUCACAGACUCAACUUCUCAUAUUCCUCUGGAUGAGUUGUCUGGUCCCAGAUGAUAUGCUCGUUGGUUCUGUCCCCUGUAUACAUGUAAGAAGCCUCAGAGGACUGUAGAAGGUCCAUUUUGUAUUUCAGUGAUACAACAUUUGUGCAUAUGUUUUGUCUUUGUUUUCGAUUUUGUUUUUGUCUCUCGUAUUUUUUAGAUCACAAAAAUGGAGCUGGUGCUGUUGUAAUUUUUAUAGGGUUAACUGGCAUUACGAAGUUAUAUGGUGCUAGCAGGAAUUAGGAAGGGCCAUAAAAGCACCCAUUCCUGAUGAUUUAUGUAUCUAUCCAGAAAUUAGUUCAGAUUGUCGAGUAAAUAAUCAUUCUGAAGUUAUAACUAUAUAUAUUUUUUAGUGUUCCAAUAGAUCCUAUAGAUACGAUAAGGACACUAGGUCAAGUGCGUUCCUAUAGAUCCUUUAGAUACGAUAAGGACACUAGGUCAAGUGCACGGCUGCUUGUGGACGGAUAGUGUUUGAAAUUUCAUCGUGAUCAUUGCAAGUGUGACUUUGUGGCACUACCCUUAUAAGUACUUGAACUAAGGCAUUAGGGAUCAAGAGAUCACUUUGUGUCAUUCCAAAACAGGAAUUUGAGCUCUGUCUAUCCUCUUUAAAGUAUCGUCAAUGGGGAUCCCUCUACUAUCUUUGAGGAUUUAUUUAAGACCAACUGUAGGGUAAGACCCAAACCUAAAUUUCUAAGUUUAAACAAAAUAAAAAUGCAAUCUAAUUGUGGGAUUUUUUUGUUUUUUUUGAACAAAAUAUAUUAUCUAGAUUAGGUUAAGCUUUACAGUGGGCUAGUAAUAAUAUGGUUCAAAUUUGUCUUUGGCGAAAAUCGAACCUAAAGACCUCUAUUAUAUGUGAAGAGAAAUAUCAGUAAACUGUAGUACUAGAUAGUAUCUAAUGGUUGGACUUAAAGCUAAAAAGUUUGGCUUUUACCCAAGCUAAACCCAAAUUUGGGUUUUGUAUUUGGCAGACCCAAAUUUUUGGGGGCCCUACCUUUUUUUUUCUGAAAAGCAACGGGCGAAUGAUGUAUUGAAGUGGCCGACAGAUGGGUCCCUCACCUAGCAGAGUCCCAGCUGCAAAACAGUAACAGUUUAAGCAACUACGAGCCAUUCGAUUUGUGGGCCAUUGGUGAUCAACGGUCUAGGUUAAAAUCCUUUCAUGCUUUGCAAUCUUUAAAUUUUGAUCUAAUUGUUCAUAUAUAUAUUUUUUCAAAUCUAACGGUAAAAUAAAUCCAACUACUGAAAUUUAAAUUCAACGUCAAAAAUUAUUUUAUUUAGAACAUAUCCAUUAUACAUUUGGAUGGUUGGUGUGGUUUGUUCGGUUUUGAAUUUUUUGUUGAAAUUUAAUUUUUUUAAUGUCAAAACACUUGUCAAAUUAAAUUAAAAUAAUAUAAUUCAAAAGUAAAAAAUUUAAAAAAAAAUCCUACCGAAAAAAAAUUAGGGUUAAAACUAUAUUCCACCACAAUUAGUACAUUUUAGGCCAUGAAAUUUAGAUCUUGAUGGUUGGGUGAUAUUCACUUCAUAGACUUAAAUUCUGUCUUUUGAUGGACUAAAUAUUUGGGUUUGGGUGUAAAGGUUGGAGCUGGUCUAAGGACUUUAAUGAAAUCUUAUAUUUCUAAACGAGUUGCCUCAUAUGAGAAAGUCCUUAUAGUAUAAAUCUUAAAUUUGAAGUUUACAUAAUUUUAUGUGAUACUUUCAUUGGAAGCUAAUUCUUUUAGUUAAUUUAACUUGAUUUUAUUGUAAAAUAUUUUUUUGUGAACAUUAUUACCCAAAAAAGUUCAAAAUUCUCGAAGCCAAAUUUUAUUCUUUAGAACUACAAUAGCUUUCAUUAUUGGCUAUGUCAUGGUCUAUUAUUUCUGAUCAGAAUCAGACCUGGACUCUUUGCAACGCUUGGUCAACUAAAUGAAUUAUUAAUUAAAAGUAGCUUGAUAAUCAUUUUGUUUUCAAUUUUUAAUUUUUAGCUUAUACUUUUCUAUUAUGAAAUUAAUCAAAAUGGUUCAUGAAAUUGGCAUAAUUAAUCAUUUCGGUUCCUGAGAUUUGAAAUUGCUAGAAGUGAUCCCUGAGUUUGUUAACUAUCAAUUAUUUUGAUCAUUCGAUUAAAAAUCUCUAUUGAAUAAGAAGCAUGUUUAUACCAUAUUUAGGGCCUCGUAUUUAGACCUCGUAUAAAUACUCGGGGGACUUAAAUGUAAUUAUGUGAUAAAGGAAGGGGCAAAUAUGUAAUAAGUGAGGAGUCCUUAUUCUAUAAAAGGACCCCUCACCCUCACAAUUAGAAAAAGGCCUCACUCUCACUCUCGAAAAAGCCAAAUUCUUAGGCCCUCUCACCCUCUCUCAACGCUCUCACUCUCAGAGCUCUCUCUCCUUCAAAUAAAUACAAUCAGUGUGGACGUAGCACAAACCUUGGGGUGAACCACGAUACAUCUUGUGUUAUUUACAUUUCAUGCAGAUUCACGGUCGGAUUUACGUUGUUCCAAGACCUCCGGUUUUGUGCAUCAACAUUUGGCGCCGUCUGUGGGAAACGACACGAAAAGUUAUGUCGGUUCUCUCUCAAUUUUUCAUCUCCGCCGUGAAUCUGCAGAAAUCCAAGAACCCAAAAACCUCACUUUUUGGGUUUCUCCAGAAAACUUUCGCAGACCUCCAACCACCUCUGCCUCCUCUCUCAGUCAGUCAACACGGAAACCAAAGAUUUCAGCUGCAAAUUCACCUGCUUUUGCAGCCCAUCCACGCCACCAUGUCCUCAUAUUUCCACCGAGUUCCAAAGUGCUCACCAGAAAAAAUGAUGGCUUCCAUGUCUUUCUCUACAACUUUUUCAACACCUUUACAGAUUUUUCUCAAGCAAAAACAAAAAUAAGCACGAAUUCUUUAGCUUUAUGCCCUCCCAUGGCGUGUUGGAUCAAAUCCUCACUUGGGUCUCCUAAUCGGCAUUUUUUCGAAAUGGGUGGUCUUUCCAAUCGGAGAAUUUUAAUGGGUUUCUGAUCAAAUCUUGGUCUUUGGUUGUCUAUGCUAAAGCAGCUACAACAACAUCUCUAUAUAUCUCUCAUGUCCCUCAUCUCUAUCUUGUCCCUCAUCGCUCAGCCUGACACAUCAAUCAACACACCCAACUGAAAGAGGGAUAGUUUCGUGAUUACCCUGAUUCCGCCAUGGGCAUUCCCUGCGACGACAUCGUCGUUAUCAAGCCGAGGAAGGCUCCUGAUGAGCCAUCCGUCCUCACCGUCAACUGUCCCAACAAGGCCGGCCUUAGCUGCGAUUAGGAGAGGUUAAAGGAUCAGCUCUCGUCCGCGUGCCCGUCGUCGUGCUUCUUCUCAUUUUAUCUCAAUCAAAUCUCCAACGUCCCAACGCCUUCUUCGGUCUAUCUGUUGAAGUUUUGGUGCCACGACCAGAGAGGCUCACUCCACGAUGUUUGAGCCAUUGUGCGAUUUGGGCAAGAAUUUAUGGGAUCUCGCGGUGGCCCAGAUGGUUUAUGAUGAUGUUGUUGGGGUUGGAGUGGUCGAGGAGAUCAAAAAUCAAUGGCUUUUCUCAGUUUUCAGCAUCUGUCAAUUUGGCGGAGGAACGAAAGAUGCCAAAAUUAACUGCUGAGAGUACCUGGGAUUUUGAGAUGUGAUUCAUUAUUGUAUCUGAUAAACAACUUAGAAUUGUCUCUGCCACGUGUUCCACACCGAGUGCAUUGACAGGGGGCUGGAGUAUAAUGAUCAUCAUCAUCACCAUCACGACGAGGACAAUCACAAAACUUGCCCGCUCUGCAGGACUCCAUUAUUGAUGUCAUUGUAGAAGCGGAGCCUGAGUUGGGACCUUGCAGGCUUAAAAGGGACGGUCAAAUAAGAGGCUUAUUUCACUGAACAAAGUUAAACAGCAUGAAAAAGGAGAUUCAAUGUGCGGAGAUCCAGUAUGGAACUGGUGCAAUUUCAGGUUUCUUCCACCAGGACCAUGUCCAAGUCGGUGAUCUUGUUGUUAAGGAUCAGGACUUUAUUGAGGCAACCAAAGAGCCUGGAGUCACGUUUGUGGCAGCUAAGUUUGAUGGUAUUCUUGGACUUGGAUUUCAACAUAUCUCAGUUGGAGAUGCUGUUCCUGUCUGGUAUAAUUUGGUCAAUCAAGGUCUUGUUAAAUAACCAGUUUUCUCAUUUUGGUUAAAUCGCAAUACAGAAGGGGAAGAAUGGGGUGAGAUUGUCUUUGGUGGGGUUGAUUCUAGUCAUUUCAAGGGUGAGCAUACAUAUGUUCCCGUGACUCAGAAAGGCUACUGGCAGUUUGAUAUGGGUGAUGUCUUAAUUGAUGGUGAAUCAUCUGGAUUUUGUGCUAAUGGCUAUUCAGCAAUUGCUGACUCAUGCACCUCCCUAUUGGCUGGACCAACGGAAGUAUGGAGAGGUGGUGGAGGCUGUGAUCAUGAGGGAUCGUGCAAAAGGGGAGAUAAGAUUAAUGUACUUAUCAUUCCUUGUCUGCCAUCUACAAAAGAGAAAAGAAGACAGAAACAAAAGCAAAAGUAAAGCAGAAAAGGAAAAGAGAAAAGAAGAAGAGAGGAACAUGGAGACAUUUCAAAAGCAAGGAAUAAACACCCCACCAGAAUGAUGUAUUUUUUUUAUCUUUCGGAAAUAUCUGUAUAAACCCCAUCAGAGGGUAACUAAAAAAAAAUAGCAAAGCCCAAAACAAAUGGGCUGCCAUGUUGUGGAGGGCGAAGGCUCAUAAGCCCGAAAUAGCACCAACCAGGUGAUCAAAAGUACGCCUAGUACUCCACAAUUAUUCGGCAACCCACCGCUAUUACCACCAACCAGGUGAUCAAAAGUACGCCCAGUACUCCAAAAUUAUUCGGCAACCUGCCGCUAUUACCACCAACCAGGUGAUCAAAAGUAUGCCCAGUACUCUAAAAUUAUUCGGUAACCCGCCGCUAUUACCACCAACCAGGUGAUGAAGUGUACAACCCGUACUCUAAAUAUCAUUUGGCAACUAGCCAUUCAUGCCACCAACCAGGUGAUGAAAUGUAAACCCGUACUCUAAUAUCAUUUGGCAACUAGCCAUUCAUGCCACCAACCAGGUGAUGAAAUGUACAACCCGUACUCUCCUUCAUGCCACCAACUAGGUAAACAAAAGUACGCCCAAUACUUCAAAUUAUACAUGAGCAUUACUCAUGUCAAUCAUACAUAAACAUUCAUGAGCAUCACUCAUAUCAAUCAUACAUAAACAUUCAUGAGCAUCACUCAUGUCAACAUUCAUAAGCAUCACUCAUGUCAACAUCCAUGAGCAUCACUCAUGUCAAUCAAACAUUCAUGAGCAUCACUCAUGUCAAUUAAACACUCAUGAGCAUCACUCAUGUCAAUCAGCUUCAAAAGCUUCAUUUACAAAAGCUCUAGCUUCAAAAGCUUCAUUUACAGAGCUCCAGCUUCAAAGCUUCACUUGCAAAGCUUCAUUUACAAAGCUUCAGUGCAGGAUAUACAAAUACCACCUCCGAACAACCGCCACUUCGGCCCAUACAUGGAUUCAAUUUGAAGUCUCUAGCUAACAGACUCUAUUGACUGAAGACUUGAGGGACUACACUAUACACCAUAUAUUGGGCCUCAACUAGGCCUCAUGAAAAAUACUUGGGGGACUCUAGCCCAUUAUUUAUGUAUUGAGGAGCGAGCCCUUAUUUUAUAAAAGGGAUUCCCUCACCAUCAUUAGAGCAGCAUCAACUAUAGCCCAUUAUUCAUGUAUUGAGGAGCGAGCCCUUAUUUUAUAAAAGGGACUCCUUCACCAUCAUUAGAGAGCAACGCCGCCAGCUGAGCAACCGUCUCGCCGCGAGCAUCAACUCUAGCCCAUCAUUUAUGUAUCGAGGGAACGAGCCCUUAUUCUAUAAAAGGGACUCCUCACCAUCAUUAGAGAGCAUCAACUCUAGCCUAUCAUUCAUGUAUUAAGGAGCGAGCCCUUAUUCUAUAAAAGGGACUCCCUUAUCUUCAAACGCCGCAAGCCGAGCCAACCAAGGCGCCAUAAGCCACGAGCUGAGCAGCAUCGCAGCAUGUGCUACUUCUAAUUGAGCGUCAUUUCAGAUUGAGCACCGCCUCAUAUCAAACAUCAGUUCAAGAUAACAUCUAGUUACUUCGGCCCACACAUGGACUGAAUUUCAAGUCUCCAGCCAAAAGACUCUCUUGACUGAAGACUUAGGGGACUACUGUUUAUACCAUAUUUAGGGCCUCGUAUUUAGACCUCGUAUAAAUACUCGGGGGACUUAAAUGUAAUUAUGUGAUAAAGGAAUGGACAAAUAUGUAAUAAGUGAGGAGUCCUUAUUCUAUAAAAGGACCCCUCACCCUCACAAUUAGAAAAAGGCCUCACUCUCACUCUCAAAAAAGCCAAAUUCUUAGGCCCUCUCACCCUCUCUCAACGCUCUCACUCUCAGAGCUCUCUCUCCUUCAAAUAAAUACAAUCAGUGUGGACGUAGCCCAAACCUUGGGGUGAACCACGAUACAUCUUGUGUUAUUUACAUUUCAUGCAGAUUCACGGUCGGAUUUACGUUGUUCCAAAACCUCCGGUUUUGUGCAUCAACAAAGCAAAUGACAAAAAUAACCUCAAUUCAAUAAAUAAUGGACCGUAAUAAUUUGACAAAAAUUGAAGAUAAUUUUUUUUUUUUUUUACGAAAUGAUCAUGUUGAAUAAAAUCAGAAAUCUCAAAACAAAGUGAGGAAUUGCAUAACAAUUUCAGAUAUCAGCUAAAAAGUAAAAAAUAAAUAUAAACAAAAGAAGAAACGAAACUUCCGACGCUGUGGGCUGCGACUUUGACUGAUUGAGAGUCCUCCAUCCGCAGCUCCUUCGUCUUCCUCCCAAACCUUUUACCUUUCUUCUUUCUUCUCCAAAACUAGCAAGCUGAGAUUUCAACCUCUCUCUCUCUAAGAAGCAGCGGCAUGCUUUUCCAAACUCAAUCUGCAAUUUAAUCAAACAGCCACCGAAUUUUCUCUAAUCCGGUCAACGCAGAGAUGCUUCGGAUUUUGAUCGGUCAACGCCAGCUGCUCACCUGAGCACCAACGGGCCCAACAGUGAUGACGUCCUCCGCCCCUGUUUCUGUUUGGCUGAUUCUGCUGUUUGGAACCUCCAUAAGCUCGCUGCCAACAUAGAAGGUAUGUCUGUGUCUCUGUGUUUUUGAAUUUGGGUGUGUUUGGUUGCGGGAAUUGGAAUGAACUAACGAAUGAAUGAAUGAAUGAUUGGAUUUGAC
rnacentral:lncRNA from 1 species